GGGUUGUGAGGUUAAGCGACUAAGCGUACACGGUGGAUGCCCUGGCAGUCAGAGGCGAUGAAGGACGUGCUAAUCUGCGAUAAGCGUCGGUAAGGUGAUAUGAACCGUUAUAACCGGCGAUUUCCGAAUGGGGAAACCCAGUGUGUUUCGACACACUAUCAUUAACUGAAUCCAUAGGUUAAUGAGGCGAACCGGGGGAACUGAAACAUCUAAGUACCCCGAGGAAAAGAAAUCAACCGAGAUUCCCCCAGUAGCGGCGAGCGAACGGGGAGCAGCCCAGAGCCUGAAUCAGUGUGUGUGUUAGUGGAAGCGUCUGGAAAGGCGCGCGAUACAGGGUGACAGCCCCGUACACAAAAAUGCACAUGCUGUGAGCUCGAUGAGUAGGGCGGGACACGUGGUAUCCUGUCUGAAUAUGGGGGGACCAUCCUCCAAGGCUAAAUACUCCUGACUGACCGAUAGUGAACCAGUACCGUGAGGGAAAGGCGAAAAGAACCCCGGCGAGGGGAGUGAAAAAGAACCUGAAACCGUGUACGUACAAGCAGUGGGAGCACGCUUCGGCGUGUGACUGCGUACCUUUUGUAUAAUGGGUCAGCGACUUAUAUUCUGUAGCAAGGUUAACCGAAUAGGGGAGCCGAAGGGAAACCGAGUCUUAACUGGGCGUUAAGUUGCAGGGUAUAGACCCGAAACCCGGUGAUCUAGCCAUGGGCAGGUUGAAGGUUGGGUAACACUAACUGGAGGACCGAACCGACUAAUGUUGAAAAAUUAGCGGAUGACUUGUGGCUGGGGGUGAAAGGCCAAUCAAACCGGGAGAUAGCUGGUUCUCCCCGAAAGCUAUUUAGGUAGCGCCUCGUGAAUUCAUCUCCGGGGGUAGAGCACUGUUUCGGCAAGGGGGUCAUCCCGACUUACCAACCCGAUGCAAACUGCGAAUACCGGAGAAUGUUAUCACGGGAGACACACGGCGGGUGCUAACGUCCGUCGUGAAGAGGGAAACAACCCAGACCGCCAGCUAAGGUCCCAAAGUCAUGGUUAAGUGGGAAACGAUGUGGGAAGGCCCAGACAGCCAGGAUGUUGGCUUAGAAGCAGCCAUCAUUUAAAGAAAGCGUAAUAGCUCACUGGUCGAGUCGGCCUGCGCGGAAGAUGUAACGGGGCUAAACCAUGCACCGAAGCUGCGGCAGCGACACUGUGUGUUGUUGGGUAGGGGAGCGUUCUGUAAGCCUGUGAAGGUGUGCUGUGAGGCAUGCUGGAGGUAUCAGAAGUGCGAAUGCUGACAUAAGUAACGAUAAAGCGGGUGAAAAGCCCGCUCGCCGGAAGACCAAGGGUUCCUGUCCAACGUUAAUCGGGGCAGGGUGAGUCGACCCCUAAGGCGAGGCCGAAAGGCGUAGUCGAUGGGAAACAGGUUAAUAUUCCUGUACUUGGUGUUACUGCGAAGGGGGGACGGAGAAGGCUAUGUUGGCCGGGCGACGGUUGUCCCGGUUUAAGCGUGUAGGCUGGUUUUCCAGGCAAAUCCGGAAAAUCAAGGCUGAGGCGUGAUGACGAGGCACUACGGUGCUGAAGCAACAAAUGCCCUGCUUCCAGGAAAAGCCUCUAAGCAUCAGGUAACAUCAAAUCGUACCCCAAACCGACACAGGUGGUCAGGUAGAGAAUACCAAGGCGCUUGAGAGAACUCGGGUGAAGGAACUAGGCAAAAUGGUGCCGUAACUUCGGGAGAAGGCACGCUGAUAUGUAGGUGAAGUCCCUCGCGGAUGGAGCUGAAAUCAGUCGAAGAUACCAGCUGGCUGCAACUGUUUAUUAAAAACACAGCACUGUGCAAACACGAAAGUGGACGUAUACGGUGUGACGCCUGCCCGGUGCCGGAAGGUUAAUUGAUGGGGUCAGCGCAAGCGAAGCUCUUGAUCGAAGCCCCGGUAAACGGCGGCCGUAACUAUAACGGUCCUAAGGUAGCGAAAUUCCUUGUCGGGUAAGUUCCGACCUGCACGAAUGGCGUAAUGAUGGCCAGGCUGUCUCCACCCGAGACUCAGUGAAAUUGAACUCGCUGUGAAGAUGCAGUGUACCCGCGGCAAGACGGAAAGACCCCGUGAACCUUUACUAUAGCUUGACACUGAACAUUGAGCCUUGAUGUGUAGGAUAGGUGGGAGGCUUAGAAGUGUGGACGCCAGUCUGCAUGGAGCCGACCUUGAAAUACCACCCUUUAAUGUUUGAUGUUCUAACGUUGACCCGUAAUCCGGGUUGCGGACAGUGUCUGGUGGGUAGUUUGACUGGGGCGGUCUCCUCCUAAAGAGUAACGGAGGAGCACGAAGGUUGGCUAAUCCUGGUCGGACAUCAGGAGGUUAGUGCAAUGGCAUAAGCCAGCUUGACUGCGAGCGUGACGGCGCGAGCAGGUGCGAAAGCAGGUCAUAGUGAUCCGGUGGUUCUGAAUGGAAGGGCCAUCGCUCAACGGAUAAAAGGUACUCCGGGGAUAACAGGCUGAUACCGCCCAAGAGUUCAUAUCGACGGCGGUGUUUGGCACCUCGAUGUCGGCUCAUCACAUCCUGGGGCUGAAGUAGGUCCCAAGGGUAUGGCUGUUCGCCAUUUAAAGUGGUACGCGAGCUGGGUUUAGAACGUCGUGAGACAGUUCGGUCCCUAUCUGCCGUGGGCGCUGGAGAACUGAGGGGGGCUGCUCCUAGUACGAGAGGACCGGAGUGGACGCAUCACUGGUGUUCGGGUUGUCAUGCCAAUGGCACUGCCCGGUAGCUAAAUGCGGAAGAGAUAAGUGCUGAAAGCAUCUAAGCACGAAACUUGCCCCGAGAUGAGUUCUCCCUGACUCCUUGAGAGUCCUGAAGGAACGUUGAAGACGACGACGUUGAUAGGCCGGGUGUGUAAGCGCAGCGAUGCGUUGAGCUAACCGGUACUAAUGAACCGUGAGGCUUAACCUUACAACGCCGAAGGUGUUU
rnacentral:rRNA from 1 species